rnacentral:rRNA from 1 species
CACGUAGGGCGCAAGCGUUGUCCGGAAUUAUUGGGCGUAAAGAGCUCGUAGGCGGUCUGUUACGUCUGCUGUGAAAACCCGGGGCUUAACCCUGGGCUUGCAGUGGAUACGGGCAGACUAGAGGCAGGUAGGGGAGAAUGGAAUUCCCGGUGUAGCGGUGAAAUGCGCAGAUAUCGGGAGGAACACCUGCGGCGAAGGCGGGUUGCUGGGCUGACACUGACGCUGAUGCGCGAAAGCCAGGGGAGCGAACGGGG